GGGCCCUUAGCUCAUCUGGUAGAGCACCUCAUUUGCAAUGAGGGGGUGGCAGGUUCGAGUCCUGUAGGGUCCACCU
rnacentral:tRNA from 7 species